AUUGAACGCUGGCGGCAGGCCUAACACAUGCAAGUCGAGCGGUAGCACAGAGAGCUUGCUCUCGGGUGACGAGCGGCGGACGGGUGAGUAAUGUCUGGGAAACUGCCUGAUGGAGGGGGAUAACUACUGGAAACGGUAGCUAAUACCGCAUAAUGUCGCAAGACCAAAGUGGGGGACCUUCGGGCCUCAUGCCAUCAGAUGUGCCCAGAUGGGAUUAGCUAGUAGGUGGGGUAACGGCUCACCUAGGCGACGAUCCCUAGCUGGUCUGAGAGGAUGACCAGCCACACUGGAACUGAGACACGGUCCAGACUCCUACGGGAGGCAGCAGUGGGGAAUAUUGCACAAUGGGCGCAAGCCUGAUGCAGCCAUGCCGCGUGUGUGAAGAAGGCCUUCGGGUUGUAAAGCACUUUCAGCGGGGAGGAAGGCGGUGAGGUUAAUAACCUCAUCGAUUGACGUUACCCGCAGAAGAAGCACCGGCUAACUCCGUGCCAGCAGCCGCGGUAAUACGGAGGGUGCAAGCGUUAAUCGGAAUUACUGGGCGUAAAGCGCACGCAGGCGGUCUGUCAAGUCGGAUGUGAAAUCCCCGGGCUCAACCUGGGAACUGCAUUCGAAACUGGCAGGCUAGAGUCUUGUAGAGGGGGGUAGAAUUCCAGGUGUAGCGGUGAAAUGCGUAGAGAUCUGGAGGAAUACCGGUGGCGAAGGCGGCCCCCUGGACAAAGACUGACGCUCAGGUGCGAAAGCGUGGGGAGCAAACAGGAUUAGAUACCCUGGUAGUCCACGCCGUAAACGAUGUCGAUUUGGAGGUUGUGCCCUUGAGGCGUGGCUUCCGGAGCUAACGCGUUAAAUCGACCGCCUGGGGAGUACGGCCGCAAGGUUAAAACUCAAAUGAAUUGACGGGGGCCCGCACAAGCGGUGGAGCAUGUGGUUUAAUUCGAUGCAACGCGAAGAACCUUACCUGGUCUUGACAUCCACAGAACUUUCCAGAGAUGGAUUGGUGCCUUCGGGAACUGUGAGACAGGUGCUGCAUGGCUGUCGUCAGCUCGUGUUGUGAAAUGUUGGGUUAAGUCCCGCAACGAGCGCAACCCUUAUCCUUUGUUGCCAGCGGUUAGGCCGGGAACUCAAAGGAGACUGCCAGUGAUAAACUGGAGGAAGGUGGGGAUGACGUCAAGUCAUCAUGGCCCUUACGACCAGGGCUACACACGUGCUACAAUGGCAUAUACAAAGAGAAGCGACCUCGCGAGAGCAAGCGGACCUCAUAAAGUAUGUCGUAGUCCGGAUUGGAGUCUGCAACUCGACUCCAUGAAGUCGGGAUCGCUAGUAAUCGUAGAUCAGAAUGCUACGGUGAAUACGUUCCCGGGCCU
rnacentral:rRNA from 1 species